CUGAAGUUACUAGUAAGUAAGUUGCCAUCAGAAGGGAAAACAAAUCGUUUAUCUCACCGCAUUUAGGCCACAACUGCCUAUGAUGCUCAAAGCCCUUGCGCAAUAAUCCCAGCAUCACUUGGCAACUCAAAAAUUGUUUUGACAUCACCGCCUCACCCAACAAUACAAAACCCCAACCCUACGAAGCAAAACUCGAAAAGAAACUCAAAGACAAGUUCACAAUUCGACGGAUCCAAGGGAGAAACGAGCUGCUGCCAUCAAAAGGGAAAACACAUAACUUUAAUCUCAUCGCAUCAGGCAGAAACAAGCCAUGAAUUGCUCAAAGCCCUUGCGCAAUAAUCCCAGCAUCACUUGGCAGGACAGCACAAAGCAUCCCUUCUUUUCCGAAUUAAAGCAAUGAACACACAUCAGAUUAGCGAUAAGGAGAGAAAAGUCUGGCAGAAAGAGAAGAAGUUCGAGAAGAAACGCGGGCAGAUUCGCACCCGAGACUGCGAGAGCUGUUAGGGUUUGGGGCUUACGGAGAACGCCUGGCGGCGGCGGUCGGCGGAGAAGAAGGGAAGGCCUGGCUAUAUAUCUCCCCGGUCUUUAAGGACGGAGACGAGCCCUGAAACUG
rnacentral:lncRNA from 1 species